rnacentral:rRNA from 1 species
GACGAACGCUGGCGGCGUGCCUAAUACAUGCAAGUCGAACGCACUCUCGUUUAGAUUGAAGGAGCUUGCUCCUGAUUGAUAAACAUUUGAGUGAGUGGCGGACGGGUGAGUAACACGUGGGUAACCUGCCCUAAAGUGGGGGAUAACAUUUGGAAACAGAUGCUAAUACCGCAUAAAACCUAACACCGCAUGGUGUAGGGUUGAAAGAUGGUUUCGGCUAUCACUUUAGGAUGGACCCGCGGUGCAUUAGUUAGUUGGUGAGGUAAAGGCUCACCAAGACCGUGAUGCAUAGCCGACCUGAGAGGGUAAUCGGCCACACUGGGACUGAGACACGGCCCAGACUCCUACGGGAGGCAGCAGUAGGGAAUCUUCCACAAUGGACGAAAGUCUGAUGGAGCAACGCCGCGUGAGUGAAGGAGGUUUCGGAUCGUAAACUCUGUUGUUGGAGAAGAAUGUAUCUGAUAGUACUGAUCAGGUAGUGACGGUAUCCAACCAGAA